GAGUUGUAAUUUGCAGAGGAUGUUAUGGAAUCUGUAUGGACUCAAGUCCUUUGGAAAAAGGCGCCAUGGAGAGUGACAGUCUCGUACUUUCCAAUACAUUUUCCAUGUAUAACUCCUUCAAAGAGUCGAGUUGUUUGGGAAUGCAGCUCUAAGUGGGACGUAAAUUUGUUCCAAAGCUAAAUACCGGCUAGAGACCGAUAGCGCACAAGUAGAGUGAUCGAAAGAUGAAAAGCACUUUGAAAAGAGAGUUAAAAAGCACGUGAAAUUGUUGAAAGGGAAGCUUAUGUCAUCAGAAAUGGAGCCGUUGUUCAGCCUUUUGGUGUAUUCAAGGGUGUCCAGGCUAGCAUCAGUUUAGACAGCUGGAUAAAAGUGUUGGAAAUGUAGCUCUCUCGGGAGUAUUAUAGUCUGAUACACAAUGCAGUUCGUUAGACUGAGGACCGCUUAAGGAUGC
rnacentral:rRNA from 1 species